rnacentral:rRNA from 1 species
ACUUUCAACAACGGAUCUCUUGGCUCUCGCAUCGAUGAAGAACGCAGCGAAAUGUGAUAAGUAAUGUGAAUUGCAGAAUUCAGUGAAUCAUCGAAUCUUUGAACGCAUCUUGCGCUCGCUGGUAUUCCGGCGAGCAUGUCUGUUUGAGUGUCGUGAACUCUUCAACCCCCCUUUUUCUUAUGGAGACUGGGGUGCGGCUUGGUUUCUGAACGCUUGCUGGACUGGAAUUCC